CCUACGGGGGGCAGCAGUGGGGAAUAUUGGACAAUGGGGGGAACCCUGAUCCAGCCAUGCCGCGUGUGUGAAGAAGGCCCUCGGGUUGUAAAGCACUUUCAGUGAGGAAGAACGCCUGGUGGUUAAUACCCAUCAGGAAAGACAUCACUCACAGAAGAAGCACCGGCUAACUCCGUGCCAGCAGCCGCGGUAAUACGGAGGGUGCGAGCGUUAAUCGGAAUUACUGGGCGUAAAGCGCGCGUAGGUGGCUUGAUAAGCCGGUUGUGAAAGCCCCGGGCUCAACCUGGGAACGGCAUCCGGAACUGUCAAGCUAGAGUGCAGGAGAGGAAGGUAGAAUUCCCGGUGUAGCGGUGAAAUGCGUAGAGAUCGGGAGGAAUACCAGUGGCGAAGGCGGCCUUCUGGACUGACACUGACACUGAGGUGCGAAAUCGUGGGUAGCAAACAGGAUUAGAUACCCUGGUAGUC
rnacentral:rRNA from 1 species